AUCAGUCAGGACAUUGUACUAUAAGGGCAUUAUACACUUCCGGUGUAAACAGCUUACUCAGGAACUGAGGAAGCAGAAUGUUCAAGGCAACCAGAAGCUUGAGUCCAUCCUGAACAUAGAGACAACACAGAUAUUAGCAAAGCUGGAUAAUAUUGCUAGAGGAUUAGUUAAUGCAACUCAGCAAGGACUAGUGAUGGAUAUGUUCCAGGUUCCACAGCUAGGAGAAUGUCAGGAAGAAAAGCCUCAUCAUUAAAAGUGUUACAGAGGCACUAAAGGAAACUGAUGGCAUUGUUUUUGUGUGGGUGAUGAGAAUAAGAGUGAGGAGGAGAUAGAUGACAGUCAAGACAAUCAGGAUGUCCAUACUGUCACUCCAGGGAAGAAGUCAUUUCUGAUCCUAGAUCUACUGUGGAAGAUUCUACAUGCAAGUGACAAGAGAUACAAAAAAAUCCCAAGGACAUCAUGAGAAAUGAAUUUAAUCAACAGACAUUGUGGAAAAGAUUUUCUAAAAUAUUGUAAUAGGACCUUAGAGAAGUGUAAAACACCAAGGAUAUAAUCUUGUUAAAAACAGAGAAAAUCUUGAUUAACAUUCUACUUUCAAUUGAUAUACUUUAAGAAAUAUGAUAAACACUGUGUUUUAGAGCCACAGUAAUGGAGGACAUUGAAUUCUUUGCAGCAGUUUUAUCAUUAGGCCAUUCCAAUUUCUUUCUGUUUUUAGUGUCUGCGGAUGGAUUGGUUUUGAGGUCAUGCAAUUAAGAACAAACACAAAAUAAAAUUGACAAAUACAAAUCUUUGACAAGCAAUUUACUCUUCUGGGAUCAGCAUCUCUCUUUUUUAAAAGUGAUGUGCCCAAGUUUUUUUUUUUGUUUCAUUAAACUAGUAGUAGUAGCAGUUUAAUUUAGUUAUAAUACGAGGAAAAUUCUCAAAUGAUGCUAAAGGAGUUCUAGAACUUUGCGUAAAAUGUUGUUUUUCCCCUUUUGGUUUGUUAUUUUUAGCUCACCUCAACGAAGUUGGGGGAGCUUAUGUAAUACCCUCGGCGUCGGCGUCGAUGUCGGUGUCAGCGUUGGCGUCCCAGGUUAAGUUUUUUGGAGCAGUUUUCUUUUUAACUACUUCUAUGUCCUAUAUGGAUUAGACAUGCAUGGAGGAUGGUUCUAGUGUGUUUCAUUGCACCAUUCAAAGUUUCAGAUGCUGCAAUUUCAGCAAAGGAAUGACCAGGUUAAUGUUUUUGGAGCAGGUUAACAUUUUUGGUGCAGUUUUUGGUGUAGGUUUCAUUUCCAAGUAACUAUAAGCCCUAUGUUGACCAAACUUGCAUGGAUGAUACAUCUAAGGAUGCAUACUAUCGGGCUUGCUUCGGAUGCUGAAUCUGACCUACAUUUUCCGGUUGAGUGAACAGGUUAAAGUUUUUGGUGCAGGUUUCAUUUCCAAGU